UGGAAACCUUGGGAAGAUUUGGAGGUC
rnacentral:piRNA from 1 species